AAACGUCCCAGUUCGGAUUGUAGUCUGCAACCCGACUACAUGAAGCCGGAAUCGCUAGUAAUCGCGGAUCAGAAUGCCGCGGUGAAUACGUUCCCGGGUCUUGUACACACCGCCCGUCACACCAUGGGAGUUGGAAAUGCCCGAAGUCAGUGGCCCAACCGGAAGGGGGGAGCUGCCGAAGGCAGGUUCGAUGACUGGGGUGAAGUCGUAACAAGGUAGC
rnacentral:rRNA from 1 species